AAGUGGAGCAAUCCAUGAGUAAAGUGGCGACCGGGUGAGUAACACGUGACUAACCUACCUUUGAGUGGGGGAUAACAUCGGGAAACCGAUGCUAAUACCGCAUAACAUCGCAAGAUCAAAGCAGCAAUGCGCUUAAAGAGGGGGUCGCGGCUGAUUAGCUAGUUGGCGGGGUAACGGCCCACCAAGGCGAAGAUCGGUAUCCGGCCUGAGAGGGCGCACGGACACACUGGAACUGAAACACGGUCCAGACUCCUACGGGAGGCAGCAGUGGGGAAUUUUGCGCAAUGGGGGAAACCCUGACGCAGCAACGCCGCGUGGAGGAUGAAGUCCCUUGGG
rnacentral:rRNA from 1 species